CAAACUGAGAUUAGAUACCCCACUAAGCCAAGCACUAACAAAACAAUUAAAUAACGAAUUGUUCGCCCAUAACAACACAAUUAAAACUUAACUUUUAAAACACUUGAUUGUACUUCGCUUCAUCCUAUUCGAGCCUGUCUGUACCCGAUAACCCACGAUUAACCCAACCCUUUCUUCCCUGCAGUCUAUAUCCCGCCGUCGCCAGCUUACCUUGUGAAAGAAAGGAGUAAGCCCAAUAAUAUCACAUUAAUACGACAGGUCAAGGUGUAGCCAAUGAUAGGGGCCGGAUGGGCUACAUUUUCUUUUCCAAAAAAGCCAACUCCAAUAAACUAUGAAACUAGAAACUGAAAGUGGAUUUAGCAUUAAACUAAAAAUAAAAUACUUAGCCGAAAUUAACGCAAUGAAGUGCGCACACACCGCCCCUCA
rnacentral:rRNA from 1 species